rnacentral:rRNA from 1 species
CCUACGGGGGACAGCAGUGAGGAAUAUUGGUCAAUGGGCGCGAGCCUGAACCAGCCAAGUAGCGUGAAGGAUGACUGCCCUACGGGUUGUAAACUUCUUUUAUAAAGGAAUAAAGUGAGGCACGUGUGCCGUUUUGUAUGGACGUUAUGAAUAAGGAUCGGCUAACUCCGUGCCAGCAGCCGCGGUAAUACGGAGGUUCCGAGCGUUAUCCGGAUUUCUUGGGGUUAAAGGGAGCGUAGCUGGGUUGUUAAGUCAGUUGUGAAAGUUUGCGGCUCAACCGUAAAAUUGCAAUUGAUACUGGCAGUCUUGCGUACAGUUGAGGUAGGCGGCAUUCGUGGUGUAGCGGUGAACUGCUUAGAUCUCAC